rnacentral:rRNA from 1 species
AUAACGGUCCUAAGGUAGCGAAAUUCCUUGUCAGGUAAGUUCUGACCCGCACGAAAGGCGUAACGAUUUGGGCGCUGUCUCAGCUGUAGACUCGGUGAAGUCUUAGUACCUGUGAAGAUGCAGGUUACCCGCGACUAGACGGAAAGACCCCAUGGAGCUUCACUGCAGGUUGAUAUUGGGAUUUGAUGCAGCAUGUACAGGAUAGGUAGGAGGCAAAGAGAUGGAUACGCCAGUAUUCAAGGAGCCGCUGUUGGGAUACUACCCCUGUUGUAUUGGAUUUCUAACCGGACGACGUAGAGCCGUUGACGGGACAGUGUCAGUCGGGCAGUUUGACUGGGGCGGUCGCCUCCCAAAGAGUAACGGAGGCGCCCAAAGAUACCCUCAGCUUGGAUGGAAACCAAGCGCAGAGUGCAAAGGCAAAAGGGUGUUUGACUGCGAGACCCACAAGUCGAGCAGGGACGAAAGUCGGGCUUAGUGAUCCGGCGGUGCUGAAUGGAAAGGCCGUCGCUCAACGGAUAAAAGCUACCCUGGGGAUAACAGGCUGAUCUCCCCCAAGAGUCCACAUCGACGGGGAGGUUUGGCACCUCGAUGUCGGCUCAUCGCAUCCUGGGGCUGUAUUCGGUCCCAAGGGUUUGGCUGUUCGCCAAUUAAAGCGGUACGCGAGCUGGGUUCAGAACGUCGUGAGACAGUUCGGUCCCUAUCUGUCGUGGGCGAAGGAUAUUUGAAAGGAGCUGUCCCUAGUACGAGAGGACCGGGAUGGACGCACCUCUGGUGCACCAGUUGUCACGCCAGUGGCACAGCUGGGCAGCUAAGUGCGGAACGGAUAAACGCUGAAGGCAUCUAAGCGUGAAGCCGGCCUUAAGAUAAGAUAUCCCAUUACGUAAGUAAGUAAGACCCCUCAAAGACGAUGAGGUUGAUAGGUCUGAUGUGUAAGCAUGGUGACAUGUUUAGCUAGCAGAUACUAAUUGGUCGAGGGCUUUUCCUU